AUUGAACGCUGGCGGCAGGCCUAACACAUGCAAGUCGGACGAUAGCACAGAGGAGCUUGCUCCUCGGGUGACGAGUGGCGGACGGGUGAGUAAUGUCUGGGGAUCUGCCCGAUAGAGGGGGAUAACCACUGGAAACGGUGGCUAAUACCGCAUAACGUCGCAAGACCAAAGAGGGGGACCUUCGGGCCUCUCACUAUCGGAUGAACCCAGAUGGGAUUAGCUAGCAGGCGGGGUAACGGCCCACCUAGGCGACGAUCCCUAGCUGGUCUGAGAGGACGACCAGCCACACUGGAACUGAGACACGGUCCAGACUCCUACGGGAGGCAGCAGUGGGGAAUAUUGCACAAUGGGCGCAAGCCUGAUGCAGCCAUGCCGCGUGUAUGAAGAAGGCCUUCGGGUUGUAAAGUACUUUCAGCGGGGAGGAAGGCGAUAAGGUUAAUAACCUUGUCGAUUGACGUUACCCGCAGAAGAAGCACCGGCUAACUCCGUGCCAGCCGCCGCGGUAA
rnacentral:rRNA from 1 species